UACGUAGGGGGCAAGCGUUGUCCGGAUUUAUUGGGCGUAAAGCGCGUGUAGGCGGCCAUACAGGUCCGUUGUGAAAACUCGAGGCUCAACCUCGAGACGUCGAUGGAAACCGUAUGGCUAGAGUCCGGAAGAGGAGAGCGGAAUUCCUGGUGUAGCGGUGAAAUGCGCAGAUAUCAGGAAGAACACCCGUGGCGAAGGCGGCUCUCUGGGACGGUACUGACGCUGAGACGCGAAAGCGUGGGGAUCAAACAGG
rnacentral:rRNA from 1 species